rfam:Ixodes scapularis strain Wikel colony gcontig_1108379506578, whole genome shotgun sequence.
GUAGUCGUGGCCGAGUGAUUAAGGUGAUGAACUUGAAAUCCAUUGGGGUCUCCCCGCACAGCUUCAAAUCCUGUCGACUGCG